rnacentral:rRNA from 1 species
GCGCAGCAGGCGAGAAACCUCCGCAAUGCGGGCAACCGCGACGGGGGACCCCAGUGCCGUGGCAUCGCCACGGCUUUUCCGGAGUGUAAAAAGCUCCGGGAAUAAGGGCUGGGCAAGGCCGGUGGCAGCCGCCGCGGUAAUACCGGCGGCCCGAGUGGUGGCCGCUAUUAUUGGGCCUAAAGCGUCCGUAGCCGGGCCUGUAAGUCCCUGGCGAAACCCCACGGCUCAACCGUGGGGCUUGCUGGGGAUACUGCAGGCCUUGGGACCGGGAGAGGCCGGGGGUACCCCUGGGGUAGGGGUGAAAUCCUAUAAUCCCAGGGGGACCGCCAGUGGCGAAGGCGCCCGGCUGGAACGGGUCCGACGGUGAGGGACGAAGGCCAGGGGAGCGAACCGGAUUAGAUACCCGUGUAGU